rnacentral:rRNA from 1 species
GGAGGGUGCGAGCGUUAAUCGGAAUUACUGGGCGUAAAGGGUGCGUAGGUGGUGCAGUAAGUUAUCUGUGAAAUUCCUGGGCUUAACCUGGGGUGGUCAGAUAAAACUGCUGCACUCGAGUAUAGGAGAGGGUAGUGGAAUUUCCGGUGUAGCGGUGAAAUGCGUAGAGAUCGGAAGGAACACCAGUGGCGAAGGCGGCUACCUGGCCUGAUACUGACACUGAGGCACGAAAGCGUGGGGAGCAAACAGGAUUAGAUACCCUGGUAGUCCACGCUGUAAACGAUGUCAACUAGCUGUUGGAUAUAUGAAUAUAUUUAGUGGCGCAGCAAACGCGAUAAGUUGACCGCCUGGGGAGUACGGUCGCAAGAUUA